rnacentral:rRNA from 1 species
GGGUUGUGAGGUUAAGCGACUAAGCGUACACGGUGGAUGCCCUGGCAGUCAGAGGCGAUGAAGGACGUGCUAAUCUGCGAUAAGCGUCGGUAAGGUGAUAUGAACCGUUAUAACCGGCGAUUUCCGAAUGGGGAAACCCAGUGUGUUUCGACACACUAUCAUUAACUGAAUCCAUAGGUUAAUGAGGCGAACCGGGGGAACUGAAACAUCUAAGUACCCCGAGGAAAAGAAAUCAACCGAGAUUCCCCCAGUAGCGGCGAGCGAACGGGGAGCAGCCCAGAGCCUGAAUCAGUGUGUGUGUUAGUGGAAGCGUCUGGAAAGGCGCGCGAUACAGGGUGACAGCCCCGUACACAAAAAUGCACAUACUGUGAGCUCGAUGAGUAGGGCGGGACACGUGGUAUCCUGUCUGAAUAUGGGGGGACCAUCCUCCAAGGCUAAAUACUCCUGACUGACCGAUAGUGAACCAGUACCGUGAGGGAAAGGCGAAAAGAACCCCGGCGAGGGGAGUGAAAAAGAACCUGAAACCGUGUACGUACAAGCAGUGGGAGCCUCUUUAUGGGGUGACUGCGUACCUUUUGUAUAAUGGGUCAGCGACUUAUAUUCUGUAGCAAGGUUAACCGAAUAGGGGAGCCGAAGGGAAACCGAGUCUUAACUGGGCGUUAAGUUGCAGGGUAUAGACCCGAAACCCGGUGAUCUAGCCAUGGGCAGGUUGAAGGUUGGGUAACACUAACUGGAGGACCGAACCGACUAAUGUUGAAAAAUUAGCGGAUGACUUGUGGCUGGGGGUGAAAGGCCAAUCAAACCGGGAGAUAGCUGGUUCUCCCCGAAAGCUAUUUAGGUAGCGCCUCGUGAAUUCAUCUCCGGGGGUAGAGCACUGUUUCGGCAAGGGGGUCAUCCCGACUUACCAACCCGAUGCAAACUGCGAAUACCGGAGAAUGUUAUCACGGGAGACACACGGCGGGUGCUAACGUCCGUCGUGAAGAGGGAAACAACCCAGACCGCCAGCUAAGGUCCCAAAGUCAUGGUUAAGUGGGAAACGAUGUGGGAAGGCCCAGACAGCCAGGAUGUUGGCUUAGAAGCAGCCAUCAUUUAAAGAAAGCGUAAUAGCUCACUGGUCGAGUCGGCCUGCGCGGAAGAUGUAACGGGGCUAAACCAUGCACCGAAGCUGCGGCAGCGACACUAUGUGUUGUUGGGUAGGGGAGCGUUCUGUAAGCCUGUGAAGGUGUACUGUGAGGUAUGCUGGAGGUAUCAGAAGUGCGAAUGCUGACAUAAGUAACGAUAAAGCGGGUGAAAAGCCCGCUCGCCGGAAGACCAAGGGUUCCUGUCCAACGUUAAUCGGGGCAGGGUGAGUCGACCCCUAAGGCGAGGCCGAAAGGCGUAGUCGAUGGGAAACAGGUUAAUAUUCCUGUACUUGGUGUUACUGCGAAGGGGGGACGGAGAAGGCUAUGUUGGCCGGGCGACGGUUGUCCCGGUUUAAGCGUGUAGGCUGGUUUUCCAGGCAAAUCCGGAAAAUCAAGGCUGAGGCGUGAUGACGAGGCACUACGGUGCUGAAGCAACAAAUGCCCUGCUUCCAGGAAAAGCCUCUAAGCAUCAGGUAACAUCAAAUCGUACCCCAAACCGACACAGGUGGUCAGGUAGAGAAUACCAAGGCGCUUGAGAGAACUCGGGUGAAGGAACUAGGCAAAAUGGUGCCGUAACUUCGGGAGAAGGCACGCUGAUAUGUAGGUGAAGCGACUUGCUCGUGGAGCUGAAAUCAGUCGAAGAUACCAGCUGGCUGCAACUGUUUAUUAAAAACACAGCACUGUGCAAACACGAAAGUGGACGUAUACGGUGUGACGCCUGCCCGGUGCCGGAAGGUUAAUUGAUGGGGUUAGCGGUAACGCGAAGCUCUUGAUCGAAGCCCCGGUAAACGGCGGCCGUAACUAUAACGGUCCUAAGGUAGCGAAAUUCCUUGUCGGGUAAGUUCCGACCUGCACGAAUGGCGUAAUGAUGGCCAGGCUGUCUCCACCCGAGACUCAGUGAAAUUGAACUCGCUGUGAAGAUGCAGUGUACCCGCGGCAAGACGGAAAGACCCCGUGAACCUUUACUAUAGCUUGACACUGAACAUUGAGCCUUGAUGUGUAGGAUAGGUGGGAGGCUUAGAAGUGUGGACGCCAGUCUGCAUGGAGCCGACCUUGAAAUACCACCCUUUAAUGUUUGAUGUUCUAACGUUGACCCGUGAUCCGGGUUGCGGACAGUGUCUGGUGGGUAGUUUGACUGGGGCGGUCUCCUCCUAAAGAGUAACGGAGGAGCACGAAGGUUGGCUAAUCCUGGUCGGACAUCAGGAGGUUAGUGCAAUGGCAUAAGCCAGCUUGACUGCGAGCGUGACGGCGCGAGCAGGUGCGAAAGCAGGUCAUAGUGAUCCGGUGGUUCUGAAUGGAAGGGCCAUCGCUCAACGGAUAAAAGGUACUCCGGGGAUAACAGGCUGAUACCGCCCAAGAGUUCAUAUCGACGGCGGUGUUUGGCACCUCGAUGUCGGCUCAUCACAUCCUGGGGCUGAAGUAGGUCCCAAGGGUAUGGCUGUUCGCCAUUUAAAGUGGUACGCGAGCUGGGUUUAGAACGUCGUGAGACAGUUCGGUCCCUAUCUGCCGUGGGCGCUGGAGAACUGAGGGGGGCUGCUCCUAGUACGAGAGGACCGGAGUGGACGCAUCACUGGUGUUCGGGUUGUCAUGCCAAUGGCACUGCCCGGUAGCUAAAUGCGGAAGAGAUAAGUGCUGAAAGCAUCUAAGCACGAAACUUGCCCCGAGAUGAGUUCUCCCUGACCCUUUAAGGGUCCUGAAGGAACGUUGAAGACGACGACGUUGAUAGGCCGGGUGUGUAAGCGCAGCGAUGCGUUGAGCUAACCGGUACUAAUGAACCGUGAGGCUUAACCUUACAACGCCGAAGCUGUU